GAUGAACGCUAGCGGCAGGCUUAAUACAUGCAAGUCGUGGGGCAGCAUGAGUAGCAAUACUUGAUGGCGACCGGCAAACGGGUGAGGAACACGUACACAACCUUCCUUCAAGCGGGGAAUAGCCCAGAGAAAUUUGGAUUAAUACCCCAUAAUAUAUUUGAUAAGGCAUCUUAUUAAUAUUAAAGCUUCGGCACUUGAUGAUGGGUGUGCGGCUGAUUAGAUAGUUGGCGGGUAACGGCCCACCAAGUCUACGAUCAGUAGCUGAUGUGAGAGCAUGAUCAGCCACACGGGCACUGAGACACGGGCCCGACUCCUACGGGAGGCAGCAGUAAGGAAUAUUGGACAAUGGACGAAAGUCUGAUCCAGCCAUGCCGCGUGAAGGAUUAAGGUCCUCUGGAUUGUAAACUUCUUUUAUAUGGGACGAAAAAGGGCAUUCUUGUUCACUUGACGGUACCGAUAUGAAUAAGCACCGGCUAACUCCGUGCCAG
rnacentral:rRNA from 1 species